rnacentral:rRNA from 1 species
GAUGAACGCUGGUGGCGUGCCUAAUACAUGCAAGUCGAGCGAACGGACGAGAAGCUUGCUUCUCUGAUGUUAGCGGCGGACGGGUGAGUAACACGUGGAUAACCUACCUAUAAGACUGGGAUAACUUCGGGAAACCGGAGCUAAUACCGGAUAAUAUUUUGAACCGCAGGGUUCAAAAGUGAAAGACGGUCUUGCUGUCACUUAUAGAUGGAUCCGCGCUGCAUUAGCUAGUUGGUAAGGUAACGGCUUACCAAGGCAACGAUGCAUAGCCGACCUGAGAGGGUGUUCGGCCACACUGGAACUGAGACACGGUCCAGACUCCUACGGGAGGCAGCAGUAGGGACUCUUCCGCAAUGGGCGAAAGCCUGACGGAGCAACGCCGCGUGAGUGAUGAAGGUCUUCGGAUCGUACAACUCUGUUAUUAGGGAAGAACAUAUGUGUAAGUAACUGUGCACAUCUUGACGGUACCUACUCAGAAAGCCACGGCUAACUACGUG